UGGGGAAUUUUGGACAAUGGGGGAAACCCUGAUCCAGCCAUCCCGCGUGUGCGAUGAAGGCCUUCGGGUUGUAAAGCACUUUUGGCAGGAAAGAAACGUCAUGGGUUAAUACCCCGUGAAACUGACGGUACCUGCCGAAUAAGCACCGGCUAACUACGUGCCAGCAGCCGCGGUAAUACGUAGGGUGCAAGCGUUAAUCGGAAUUACUGGGCGUAAAGCGUGCGCAGGCGGUUCGGAAAGAAAGAUGUGAAAUCCCAGAGCUCAACUUUGGAACUGCAUUUUUAACUACCGGGCUAGAGUGUGUCAGAGGGAGGUGGAAUUCCGCGUGUAGCAGUGAAAUGCGUAGAUAUGCGGAGGAACACCGAUGGCGAAGGCAGCCUCCUGGGAUAACACUGACGCUCAUGCACGAAAGCGUGGGGAGCAAACAGG
rnacentral:rRNA from 1 species